rnacentral:rRNA from 1 species
CCCAGCACCGAAGCCUACGCUGUUUAAGCGUAAGGCAAUGUGGUGUUUAAGUCAUAGCCUGGAACUCGGUUCUAACUUCAAGUGCAUUCUUGAAUAUGCCUGCUUAAACGGGUGAUAGCCCCGUAKAASUUAGACCAUGCCCCCUGAGUUCUCAGAUGCUUUGUCUUUAGAGUCGGAUUGCUUGAGAAUGCAKUCCARAGUUGGUGGUAAACUCCAUCAAAGGCUAAAUACCUGCGUGAGUCCGAUAGCUAACAAGUACCGUGAGGGAAAGUUGAAAAKKACUCUAAAUASAGAGUAAAUAGUACGUGAAACUACAUGGAGGUUAACCGAACGGAGUCAGACUUCUA